rnacentral:rRNA from 1 species
UACGGAGGAUGCAAGCGUUAUCCGGAAUUAUUGGGCGUAAAGCGUCCGCAGGUGGCAAUGUAAGUCUGCUGUCAAAGCGUCUGGCUCAACCAGAUAAAGGCAGUGGAAACUACAUAGCUAGAGUAAGGUAGGGGUAGAGGGAAUUCCUGGUGUAGCGGUGAAAUGCGUAGAGAUCAGGAAGAACACCGGUGGCGAAAGCGCUCUGCUGGACCUUAACUGACACUGAGGCGCGAAAGCCAGGGGAGCGAACGGG